UGGGUCUGUGCAGUGACCAGCCAGUCCCUGAGAACUCUCCCCUCCAGCACCAGGGAAAAUGGGAUUUUUUCUCCUUGUAAUUUUCGCUGUAGCCGCUUUGGAAGGUGUCCGGUCCCAGGUGCAGCUGGUGGAGUCCGGAGGGGACGUGAAAAAGCCCGGAGACUCUCUCCGCCUCUCCUGCAAAGCCUCCGGCUUCACCUUCAGCAGCUACAAUAUGAACUGGGUCCGACAGGCGCCCGGGAAGGGCCUGGAGUGGGUCUCACGGAU